UCCCUUUUUCUCCCACAUAUCCGAGGUCUCUCUCUCCCUCUCUUUCUCUCUCUUUCUUCCUCAUGACCGGCUGCCGCCACCGUCGGCCGAUCUCCUUCACCGUAGCUCCACAACCCAAACCCUCGCGCCAUCGGGCUUGCCUCGACGAGGGGAAUCCAUUUUUCUAGUUUCCCCUCUUCCCUAUCCACUCCAUCAAGCCACCACAACCACCUCCCUUGCAGCCGAAGAGAAGCUCUUCUACUCGCCGUUCCGGCCAACUCCUCCUCUCUCUCGGCCAGCCACCGACUUCCCCGGGUGCGCGUCGCUCGGGAACACGCUUGGCCGCCGCCGUCGAAGCCGUUCCACCAUCGGAGCACCGGCGCCCCUUCUCUCUCUCUCUCUGUUGUUACACGGGAAGAAGAAGAGAAGGCAGAAGAUAACGGGAGGAAGAAGAAGAAAGAAAAGAAAAAAGGCUGACAGAGUUAAAUUGAAGUUCUUGCUGAAGCCAGGAGUUCAAUCAUAUAAGUUAGUCUUAUUUCAACCUUGUUCUCAAAUCUAGAUUAGUUAGAUGGUUUAAGUCUAUAGCAAAACCUUAGAGUUGAGUCACUCUAUAGCUUCUGCUGUAAUAGUUAGCCAUAAUCUUGUAAAUUCCCCUAUUAUUUUAUGUAAUAACAUCUCCUUUGGAGCCUUGUUUAAAUGUACGCAAUGAAGAUCCAGAUUGUUGAAGCUGUAUCAAUCUACUGAUCCAGGGCUUGAUACAGUUAAACAUAUCGGUUUCCGAAUCAUUAGUUUUGGGAGCCGACAUGGACAGUUGACUAUCUUGCCAAGCGGUGUUUGCCUCAUAUCCAUACAAAAUAUUUUGGUCAAUUGUGUUUUCAAUAGAUAAGUUUAGACCUUGAUCUUGCAAAGGUUUGUAUUAUUUUCCACGCUACCUGAUCAUAAUACUCAAUCCUUCUCUAGUUUGUGGUCAAGAGCAGUGAAAGGGUUGAGAAAGAAUGAGAAAAAUGGGCUCAACUCGAUGAUUAUUU